GACGAACGCUGGCGGCGUGCUUAACACAUGCAAGUCGAACGGAAAGGCCCUGCUUUUGUGGGGUGCUCGAGUGGCGAACGGGUGAGUAACACGUGAGUAACCUGCCCUUGACCUUGGGAUAACUUCAGGAAACUGGGGCUAAUACCGGAUAGGAGCUCCUGCUGCAUGGUGGGGGUUGGAAAGUUUCGGCGGUUGGGGAUGGACUCGCGGCUUAUCAGCUUGUUGGUGGGGUAGUGGCUUACCAAGGCUUUGACGGGUAGCCGGCCUGAGAGGGUGACCGGCCACAUUGGGACUGAGAUACGGCCCAGACUCCUACGGGAGGCAGCAGUGGGGAAUAUUGCACAAUGGGCGGAAGCCUGAUGCAGCAACGCCGCGUGCGGGAUGACGGCCUUCGGGUUGUAAACCGCUUUCGCCUGUGACGAAGCGUGAGUGACGGUAAUAGGUAAAGAAGCACCGGCUAACUACGUG
rnacentral:rRNA from 1 species